rnacentral:rRNA from 1 species
GAUGAACGCUGGCGGCGUGCCUAAUACAUGCAAGUCGAGCGAACAGACGAGGAGCUUGCUCCUCUGACGUUAGCGGCGGACGGGUGAGUAACACGUGGAUAACCUACCUAUAAGACUGGGAUAACUUCGGGAAACCGGAGAUAAUACUGGAGAAUAUAUUCAACCGCAUGGAUCAAUAGUGAAAGACGGUUUUGCUGUCACUUAUAGAUGAUCCGCGCCGCAUUAGCUAGUUGGUAAGGUAACGGCUUACCAAGGCAACGAUGCGUAGCCGACCUGAGAGGGUGAUCGGCCACACUGGAACUGAGACACGGUCCAGACUCCUACGGGAGGCAGCAGUAGGGAAUCUUCCGCAAUGGGCGAAAGCCUGACGGAGCAACGCCGCGUGAGUGAUGAAGGUCUUCGGAUCGUAAAACUCUGUUAUUAGGGAAGAACAAAUGUGUAAGUAACUAUGCACGUCUUGACGGUACCUAAUCAGAAAGCCACGGCUAACUACGUG